CAACUUCUUCCCGCAAUUU
rnacentral:miRNA from 1 species